GAUGAACGCUGGCGGCGUGCUUAACACAUGCAAGUCGAACGAUGAAGCCCAGCUUGCUGGGUGGAUUAGUGGCGAACGGGUGAGUAACACGUGAGUAACCUGCCCUUAACUCUGGGAUAAGCCUGGGAAACUGGGUCUAAUACCGGAUAGGAGCGUCCACCGUAUGGUGGGUGUUGGAAAGAUUUAUCGGUUUUGGAUGGACUCGCGGCCUAUCAGCUUGUUGGUGAGGUAAUGGCUCACCAAGGCGACGACGGGUAGCCGGCCUGAGAGGGUGACCGGCCACACUGGGACUGAGACACGGCCCAGACUCCUACGGGAGGCAGCAGUGGGGAAUAUUGCACAAUGGGCGCAAGCCUGAUGCAGCGACGCCGCGUGAGGGAUGACGGCCUUCGGGUUGUAAACCUCUUUCAGUAGGGAAGAAGCGAAAGUGACGGUACCUGCAGAAGAAGCACCGGCUAACUACGUG
rnacentral:rRNA from 1 species